rnacentral:lncRNA from 1 species
GUACAGCCUGCUGCUGACGCUCAGCAGGUGCUUCUCCCUGAGGGAUGGAAGCAGACCCUCCCAAAGGAGCAGCAAGAGUGGGUCAGUCGGGCCAUUUUCACAAGGGACAAGUAGCUCAAAUGUGUCCUGAAAAGCCAGCUUGAGCUGUGGUACUCCCUUCCUCUGCCUCCUAACAUCAGCCAUCAGCCUCCAGCUUCUCCCACCGCCUACUUCCUCCAGCCGUUCUGCCUCUGGAUGUCCUACCACCUUUUAAGUUUGUGUGCACCCAGCCACAGUGCAAGCAUCUAAAGCUCACAGGCUGUGGGGUGUACAAGAUGGUCUGGAGGGUGCUUGACGUGGAUGGCUGGUAUUAUAUGGGGACAGAAUACCUGGAGUGCCGCAUCUGUAAGAGGAAGCUAGCAGGAUGGUUGCUGGAUGUCUUGAACCAGCUUGGACGCAAGUCAUCGCGCUAAGUUCCCAGACAUCUUGACUUACAGAACUACCCACCACCAACGGACCAAGCAGCGGAGGAAGGAGCAGCAGCAGAGCUUUAAGGAGUUUUGGACUUGGGCGCAGAUACUAGCGGGAGAAGAACCAUGGAGGAAGGCCAGAGAGGAAAGAGAACGCUAUGUUGGGACACGGCUAGCAAGGAAGCCUGAGAGUCACC